rnacentral:rRNA from 1 species
AUACGGAGGAUGCGAGCGUUAUCCGGAUUUAUUGGGUUUAAAGGGUGCGUAGGUGGUAAUUUAAGUCAGCGGUGAAAGUUUGUGGCUCAACCAUAAAAUUGCCGUUGAAACUGGGUUACUUGAGUGUGUUUGAGGUAGGCGGAAUGCGUGGUGUAGCGGUGAAAUGCAUAGAUAUCACGCAGAACUCCAAUUGCGAAGGCAGCUUACUAAACCAUAACUGACACUGAAGCACGAAAGCGUAGGUAUCAAACAGGAUUAGAUACCCUGGUAGUCCACGCAGUAAACGAUGAUUACUAGGAGUUUGCGAUACACGGUAAGCUCUACAGCGAAAGCGUUAAGUAAUCCACCUGGGGAGUACGCCGGCAACGGUGAAACUUAAAGGAAUUGACGGGG